rnacentral:misc_RNA from 1 species
AGCUGUUAAUGAAGUCAUGGG